GAACGGCUCAUUACCACAGUUAGAAUCUAGUUGAUGGUUGUGAAACGGAACUUUGUCGGGCGUUGUGGACUGCCGCGAGGUGGACCGCGACACGGCUGAUGUUGCUUUCCUAGUUGGAUAACCGUAGGAAAUCUAGAGCUAAUACAUGCAGACGAGCCCCUGUUUCAACGCAGGGGUUGUAUUUAUUAGGUUGGGCGUGUGUGUGUUCAUCACACACCGCACAGAGGACUCCCAGUAACUGCUCGGAUCGCUUCCUUUGAGGAGCGACGCUUCAUUCGACUUCCUGCCCUAUCAGCUUUCGAUGGUAGGAUCGAGGCCUACCAUGGCGUUCACGGGUAACGGAGAAUCAGGGUUCGAUUCCGGAGAGGCCGCCUUAGAAACAGCGACCACAUCCAAGGAAGGCAGCAGGCACGAACCUUGCCGAAUCCCCAACGGGGGAGGCAGUGACAAGAAAUACCGAUCCAGGGCUCUGUUGAGUUCUGGAAUUGGAAUGAGCCGAAUUUACAUCCCUCUGGCGAGGAUCCAUU
rnacentral:rRNA from 1 species